AGCGAACGCUGGCGGCAUGCCUAACACAUGCAAGUCGCACGGUUCGGCUCCGGCCGGUCAGUGGCGGACGGGUGAGGACCGCGUAGGGAUCUGUCCUCUGGUGGGGGAUAACCGCGGGAAACUGCGGCUAAGACCGCAUGGGGCGCCGGUGUGAGAGCCGGUGUCAAAGGCGCGCAUCGCGAGGUGUGUGUCGGCGGGGGGUGAGCCUGCGUCCGAUUAGCUGGCUGGCGGGGUAGUGGACCACCAAGGCGUCGAUCGGUAGCUGCUCUGAGAGGGUGGUCAGCGACACUGGAACUGAGACACGAACCAGACUAGUACGGGAGGCAGGAGGGGGGAAUAUUGGAGGAUGGGGGCAAGCGUGAUCCAGCAUUGUCGCGUGAGUGAAGAAGGUAGUCGGAUUGUAAAGCCCUUUCGACGAAGACGGUGGUGACGGUACCUGCAGAAGAAGCCCCGGCUAACUUCGUG
rnacentral:rRNA from 1 species